AAAGCCAUGGAUUAAUACCUGGUACACUGAUCAACUACAAUUUCCACCGGGAAGAAUGUCUUUCCUGUCUCUCUCAUCAAAUUGUUCCUAAGGAUAAAAUCUGAAGAGAGUUAGUGUUCCAAUGCCCAGCCAAAGAAAGGCAGAAAGCAGAGAGCUCCAUGGACUGCACUACAGGGAGAAGACAAAGGUUGGAAUUGCUGUGUGUUCCCCACUGGCUGGCAAUGGCUGGCUGCAAUCAUCGUAUUACAACUAACACAUGGGGUCAGGAGAUACAACUUGGAGAUAUACUCCAAUUGGCCAGUAAUUUUCCCAUUUGUCGGCCAGAAUGAAGCACAAUCAAUCAGACUUCCAUAAAGGGAAUAGCAGAAGAUUUAACCUUAUGUCUACAACAAGAAGAAAUUAAUACCUGAUACUUUCAAAUAUUGCUACGUAUGAACGCUGUGUUAAGCCCUUUAAGUUGAUUUACUGAAAUUCAAUCACGGUAGGCACUGCCAUGAAGAGGCUAGCUAAACAGGCUCUAGGGCAAACUAUGUGGGUUUUAACCUGUGUAUUUGGUCAAUAAAUUAUUUGUUCUCUGC
rnacentral:lncRNA from 1 species